rnacentral:rRNA from 1 species
AACGAACGCUGGCGGCAGGCUUAACACAUGCAAGUCGAGCGCCCCGCAGGGGGAGCGGCAGACGGGGGAGUAACGCGUGGGAAUCUACCCAUCUCUACGGAAUAACGCAGGGAAACGUGUGCUAAUACCGUAUACGUCCUUCGGGGGAAAGAUUUAUCGGAGAUGGAUGAGCCCGCGUUGGAUUAGCUAGUUGGUGGGGUAAAGGCCUACCAAGGCGACGAUCCAUAGCUGGUCUGAGAGGAUGAUCAGCCACACUGGGACUGAGACACGGCCCAGACUCCUACGGGAGGCAGCAGUGGGGAAUAUUGGACAAUGGGCGCAAGCCUGAUCCAGCCAUGCCGCGUGAGUGGUGAAGGCCCUAGGGUUGUAAAGCUCUUUCACCGGUGAAGAUAAUGACGGUAACCGGAGAAGAAGCCCCGGCUAACUUCGUGCCAGCCGCCGCCGUAACAC